GGUAGCCUAGUGGUUAGAGCGUUCGCCUCGGAUUCGGUAGGUCAUGGUUUCGAACCCCGGCAGAGUCA